rnacentral:rRNA from 1 species
UCAGGCCUAACACAUGCAAGUCGAGCGGUAACAGGGGUAGCUUGCUACCCGCUGACGAGCGGCGGACGGGUGAGUAAUGCUUAGGAAUCUGCCUAGUAGAGGGGGAUAGCCCGGGGAAACCCGGAUUAAUACCGCAUACGCCCUACGGGGGAAAGCAGGGGAUCUUCGGACCUUGCGCUAUUAGAUGAGCCUAAGUCGGAUUAGCUAGUUGGUGGGGUAAAGGCCUACCAAGGCGACGAUCCGUAGCUGGUCUGAGAGGAUGAUCAGCCACAUCGGGACUGAGACACGGCCCGAACUCCUACGGGAGGCAGCAGUGGGGAAUAUUGGACAAUGGGGGAAACCCUGAUCCAGCCAUGCCGCGUGUGUGAAGAAGGCUUUCGGGUUGUAAAGCACUUUCAGUGAGGAGGAAGGCCUUGUCGCUAAUAUCGGCAAGGAUUGACGUUACUCACAGAAGAAGCACCGGCUAA